rnacentral:lncRNA from 1 species
UCUCCUAAUCAUAGAAUUCACCGCUUAAUCACUAUAGUCUGACAUUGCUAAACCCAAACCAAAAGUUAAAGGACUGUAAAAUUUUACUUACCAACCGAAUAACGAACCAAGAACGCAGUAGUGAUGAUUGAAUGAGAAAUUUCAACAGAGAUUCGAGGAAAGCAACGAAAAUCGAAAAAGGAUGACAAAGAAGAGGAGAAAAGGAAAAAAAUCAGAGACAGAGAAAAAUAAAAUAAAAUACAAUUUAAAAAAACAAAUUAGAUAGAUCCCAACUCCCCACUAACAACUCAAUCUCAACUACCUUAGAAUCCCAACUCCACCGAAACUCUAUCACAUAACCGAGCAAAAAUUAACACCC